GAAGAGGGAAGGUAUUUUUCUGGGAGGGGGAGCAAAGAGCCUGUGCAGCUGAGACCCAUCUUCCUUCUGGAACCCCCAAAUACUUCUCCCCAUAUGUAACGGAGGAGAAAAACCAAUCCCUUCAGCCUUUUCCCCCUCCUCCUCUAUUUCAGAAUCUCCAUAUAUUAAGGAAUCAACUACUCUCACUCAGGAGAAUAUCACAGUUACUAAUUCUUGUUUAAGUUUUUCUGUCAAUGCCCUUUUUUAGCUUGUGAGUAAAAAACAUUCCUUAUGGAGGGAAGGAAAACCUGCCCUUUGCAUGAUCUCCAGUGCAAUUUAGAUACCUUUCAGCUUUUUUCUUUUGGGAAAGGGGAACAAAGGAGGACUGAAAGAGGCAGGCAUUGAACCUGAGUAAUUCUCCCUCUAAGUUCCAGAGAAUGUAGGAAAUGGACCUAACCACUGCCCCUUGAAUCAUUCAGCCAGAAUGUGCCAGGACAGGACUUGAACCCCCGCAGCCAUUAACCAACACUUCCCCUUUCAUAUCAACCACAGAAAUCAAAUAAUCUGACAUGUGAAGAUACGAGUUUCCUUAUCUAAACUCAAAAGACUUUGGAUUUUUUUAUUGUUUUGUUCCAAGAUUCUUUGAUAUAUGAGAUGGUCCUCUUCGAAAGGGGAAGGGAAGAUUACAGGUGGAAAUGAUUGAAAAAGAAUCAUCACUUGCUGUGAAGAUGACCUGAGAGAAAACAGAAAGGGUAGGUACCCCCACCUCUGGCAGUCUCCAUGGCAACCACAAGGCAACAAUCACAUGUCUGAUACCUUCAAUCAGAGCUUCCUGGACAAAGAUCUGGAGUGGUCCUAGGACUGGAAGCCUGUCCUUGCAAUAAAAGGGCUUAAAUAUUGCAAGCAAUUUUCUCAAAGAAAAAGGGUCUUGGAGAUCUAUACAUACAUGCCCAUGGGAACACACAGAUGAAUUAUUGCAUUAAAAAUGUGGAUUUUUUUUACCAUAGCUGAUGGAUUAGUCUAAAACAUCUGUCUCCUCUUCCCUCCUCCCUUAUAAUUAGAGUGAUAAAAUUCCACAGCCUAAAUUUACUUUUAUUAUCGUCAUUGAUUGAGAAUAAAGUUUCUC